rnacentral:misc_RNA from 1 species
AAGAGUUGCAAAACUCCCACAAACCAUCGCGAAUCGUUACCCGUACGCGUUGCUUCGGGGCGGGGCCUCGGCCCCCGGAUCUCGGGGGGGAGGCGCGGAGGCCAGAAACUCUUGCUAGUUAUCGUCUCUCUGAGUAAUGAUUUUUAAAUAAGUCA